UCAAAUACCAGCACAAAGGGGAGGGACUAAACAUGAAAAUAACCCUUCACCGCAAAGACAUGCGGGUCCUAAGGGUUAGGAAUCGGAUCGGGACAGGCCUUGUCCACACGGCACCGUUUUGGAGCCAUUGAAGCAGGCUCAAACGGCACCGUUUUUGGUUCUUUAAAAAGGGCUCAUUUAAGCCUAUUCAGCCGAACCCUAGCCUCAUUUCCUCUCUUCAGCCGCACUAAGCCAAAUCCCUUGGCCUUGACCUCAUCGCAGCCGACAACGGGCGCCUUCAUUCCUCGCCAAUGAUUUACAGCCCCGUGAUUCCUCCCCCACCUUCGAUUUCAACGAAGUCAAGAGGGAUCAAUGGCGGAUUCGAAGGGUAAGGUCUCGUUUUCCCUUUUUCUUUUGUUUUUAAAUGCAAAAAAUUAGAAAGAAAAACGAAAGAAGCAGUUAGAGAAAAAAAAACGCAAUAGAUCUAGAGACUCAAAACGGAAAUCACCUUUCUUUGCUUUUUUCUAUUUGAUUGUUUCGUAUGCGUAGUGUGUGUCUAAAAAAGAUACAAUGGCAUUGUUCUUGGCUUUAUAGCCGAAACAGAGUAAGAAAAAUCAAAAUAAAAAUACAAUUUUUUUUGUAUUUGCUGCUGUGUGGUUUUUGUAUUUGCUCGCAGGUAAGGGGUGUGCGUUGGCGUACGGGGACUGUGCUGGCGUACGGAGGCGUGGGCGUGGCUGCUGAAAUGCUGGAGGGUACGGAGGCAUGGUGGCUUGGCUGCGGCGCGAGGGGGAGAAACCCUAGGCUUCUGGUGUUUUAGUUUUUCGGGCCUGCUGGGCCGUGAAUUCUUGGGCUGUGUAGUUGGACUGACGGACUGUUAAUAUUUGGAUUUUUUUGUUCUUGUUUAUUUAUUAUUUUUAUUGUGAAUAGGGCCAGGGCAUAAUUGACCUAUUACAGUGUUGACACCAAUUUUCUUUUCAUAAUAACGUAUGUAAAAUACGAGACAUACUCUAUAAAUAUAAAUAUAGAAUCAAAAUAAUAUAUGUUAUUUUAAUUUAUUAUAGGGUUUGAAUUUUGAACCUAAAAUAUUAUUAAUAUGAAGUUUGAGUAUGUCAUCUAUAAUACUCCAUAUGAACUUGAGUUAGCAUCUAAAAUAAGUAAAUAAAUAAAAGCUAAG
rnacentral:lncRNA from 1 species